rnacentral:rRNA from 1 species
GCAUAUCAAUAAGCGGAGGAAAAGAAACUAACAAGGAUUCCCCUAGUAACGGCGAGUGAAGAGGGAAGAGCUCAAAUUUUAAAUCUGCCUUGUUUCAGGGUCGAGUUGUAAUUUGAAGAAGCGUUUUCUUGGGCUCGCGGCCGGUAGAAGUUCUUUGGAACAGGACAUCAUAGGGGGUGACAAUCCCGUCUGCGACCGGUCGUGCGUUCAUCUACGAUACGCUUUCAAAGAGUCGAGUUGUUUGGGAUUGCAGCUCCAAAUGGGUGGUAAACAUCACCUAAGGCUAAAUAUUGGCGAGAGACCGAUAGCGAACAAGUACCGUGAGGGAAAGAUGAAAAGAACUUUGAAAAGAGAGUUAAACAGUACGUGAAAUUGUUGAAAGGGAAACGAUCGAAGUCAGUCGUGCUGGCGCGAAAUCAACCCUCUCAUCGGGAGAUCACAUGUUGUGGCGAGCCUCAAAACCGCCACAGCGUGUGACCUCACGAUGAGGGGGAGCACUUUCGUGUCCGCUGGUUAACAUCAAUUUCGAACGUCAUAAAAAGGCUGGAGGGAUGUGGCUCCUUCGGGAGUGUUAUAACCUUUAGCGGAAUGUGGUGGUCGGGAUUGAGGAUUGCAACGAAUACCUUUAGGGCUGUUCCACCUGGCCUCUCUUUGGUAUCCUGGUGACGACAGCUUGCUGACGUCGUUAGGACUCGCCUUUGAACAGGCUAGAGUGUGAGCAAAUUCGUUAAGGAUGUUGACGUAAUGGCUUUAAACGAC